rnacentral:rRNA from 1 species
UACGAAGGGUGCAAGCGUUAAUCGGAAUUACUGGGCGUAAAGCGUGCGUAGGCGGUUUGUUAAGUCUGUUGUGAAAGCCCUGGGCUCAACCUGGGAAUGGCAAUGGAUACUGGCAAGCUAGAGUCAGGUAGAGGGUGGUGGAAUUCCCGGUGUAGCGGUGAAAUGCGUAGAGAUCGGGAGGAACAUCUGUGGCGAAGGCGGCCACCUGGACCAUGACUGACGCUGAGGCACGAAAGCGUGGGGAGCAAACAGGG